CAGUCUGCUCUCCAAUAUAAAUAUUUGUGUGUGUGAGAAGAUUUGCAGGGAGUUUGCUUUUCCCCUUUGGUACACAGAGACUCAAAAACACUCCCAGUGCUGCUGGCAUCAAGUGAUGAAACCUGGCAUGGAAGACCUCUUUCUGUGGAAAAGUGCAUCUGCAUGCUCUAAUAAACAUUUGUUUUAAAUUGACCAAGUUGUGAGUUCACAAAUCACACGUUGGGGAUGAAGACUCAACCACUUUCCUGGGCAUCCUUACCUGAGAAUCCUUUCUGUGAAAGGCACAACUUGAGGACUUCUCUUCCUGUCACUUGUUACCUGGGAAAAGAGACUGACCCCAC